rnacentral:rRNA from 1 species
GACGAACGCUGGCGGCGUGCUUAACACAUGCAAGUCGAACGGAAAGGCCCUGCUUUUGUGGGGUGCUCGAGUGGCGAACGGGUGAGUAACACGUGAGUAACCUGCCCUUGACUUUGGGAUAACUUCAGGAAACUGGGGCUAAUACCGGAUAGGAGCUCCUGCUGCAUGGUGGGGGUUGGAAAGUUUCGGCGGUUGGGGAUGGACUCGCGGCUUAUCAGCUUGUUGGUGGGGUAGUGGCUUACCAAGGCUUUGACGGGUAGCCGGCCUGAGAGGGUGACCGGCCACAUUGGGACUGAGAUACGGCCCAGACUCCUACGGGAGGCAGCAGUGGGGAAUAUUGCACAAUGGGCGGAAGCCUGAUGCAGCAACGCCGCGUGCGGGAUGACGGCCUUCGGGUUGUAAACCGCUUUCGCCUGUGACGAAGCGUGAGUGACGGUAAUGGGUAAAGAAGCACCGGCUAACUACGUGCCAGCAGCCGCGGUGAUACGUAGGGUGCGAGCGUUGUCCGGAUUUAUUGGGCGUAAAGGGCUCGUAGGUGGUUGAUCGCGUCGGAAGUGUAAUCUUGGGGCUUAACCCUGAGCGUGCUUUCGAUACGGGUUGACUUGAGGAAGGUAGGGGAGAAUGGAAUUCCUGGUGGAGCGGUGGAAUGCGCAGAUAUCAGGAGGAACACCAGUGGCGAAGGCGGUUCUCUGGGCCUUUCCUGACGCUGAGGAGCGGAAGCGUGGGGAGCGAACAGGCUUAGAUACCCUGGUAGUCCACGCUGUAAACGGUGGGUACUAGGUGUGGGGUCCAUUCCACGGGUUCCGUGCCGUAGCUAACGCUUUAAGUACCCCGCCUGGGGAGUACGGCCGCAAGGCUAAAACUCAAAGGAAUUGACGGGGCCCCGCACAAGCGGCGGAGCAUGCGGAUUAAUUCGAUGCAACGCGUAGAACCUUACCUGGGUUUGACAUGGAUCGGGAGUACUCAGAGAUGGGUGUGCCUCUUUUGGGGUCGGUUCACAGGUGGUGCAUGGCUGUCGUCAGCUCGUGUCGUGAGAUGUUGGGUUAAGUCCCGCAACGAGCGCAACCCUUGUUCACUGUUGCCAGCACGUUAUGGUGGGGACUCAGUGGAGACCGCCGGGGUCAACUCGGAGGAAGGUGGGGAUGACGUCAAGUCAUCAUGCCCCUUAUGUCCAGGGCUUCACGCAUGCUACAAUGGCUGGUACAGAGAGUGGCGAGCCUGUGAGGUUGAGCGAAUCUCGGAAAGCCGGUCUCAGUUCGGAUUGGGGUCUGCAACUCGACCUCCUGAAGUCGGAGUCGCUAGUAAUCCCAAAUCAGCAACGCUGCGGUGAAUACUUUCCCGGG